GCAGCCACCUUUUAAAACGCGUCAAAGCGUAAUCUUAGCCCCCAAAAUACCAUUAAUUUUCAUGAACCCCUAAUCUAUAAUGAAUGACUCCAUAUUUAUAUGGAAGACACCAUGCUAGGAUUAGUAACAAGAAUUUAUAAUUCUCCAAAAUGCAAAUAUAAACCAACAUGGAUGGACCAUUGGUAGUUACCGAACCUAAAUUCAAUGCAACAACACCUACAAGAAAACUCUGCAGUACUUACUCGUUAACCUAACACCAGCGCAUUACAGGAAAGAUUUAAAAAAAGAGAAGGAAUUCGGCAAAUGACGGCCCCGCCUGUUUACCAAAAACAUCGCCUCUUGACUUAUAAUAAGAGGUCCAGCCUGCCCAGUGAAUUUUAAACGGCCGCGGUAUCCUAACCGCGCGAAGGUAGCAUAAUCACUUGUUCUUUAAAUGGGGACUCGUAUCAACGGCAUCACGAGGGUUUUACUGUCUCCUCUUUUUGAUCAGUGAAAUUGAUCUUCCCGUGAAGAAGCGGGAAUAAAUUUAUAAGACGAGAAGACCCCAUGGAGCUUUAAACCAAAUAACAACUUAACCACUUAUCCCAUAAUAAAUUUAAGCCCUGUUAUAAGGUUUUUGGUUGGGGUGACCGCGGAGUAAAACACAUCCUCCACGACGAAAAAAACAGAAUUUUUAUUUAAGAACCACACUUCUAGAAAUUAGUAUACUAACGUUUACUGACCCGACAAUCGAUCAACGGACCAAGUUACCCUGGGGAUAACAGCGCAAUCUACUUCAAGAGCUCAUAUCGACAAGUAGGCUUACGACCUCGAUGUUGGAUCAGGGUAUCCCGGUGGUGCAGCCGCUACCGAAGGUUCGUUUGUUCAACGAUUAAAACCCUACGUGAUCU
rnacentral:rRNA from 1 species